rnacentral:rRNA from 1 species
GACGAACGCUGGCGGCGUGCUUAACACAUGCAAGUCGAACGGAGUGGCGAACGGGUGAGUAACACGUGGGUGAUCUGCCUUGCACUUCGGGAUAAGCUUGGGAAACUGGGUCUAAUACCGGAUAGUGCAAGAUGAGCUCGCGGCCUAUCAGCUUGUUGGUGGGGUCAUGGCCUACAAAGGCGGCGACGGGUGGCCGGCCUGGGAGCGUGUACGGCCACAGUGGGACUGAGAUACUGCCCAGACUCCGACGGGAGGCAGCAGUGGGGAAUAUUGCACAAUGGGCGGAAGCCUGAUGCAGCGAGGCCGCGUUGGGGAUGAAGGCCUUCGGGUUGUAAACUCCUUUCGACAGGGACGCGGUACCUGUAUAAGAAGCACCGGCUAACUACGUGCCAGCCGCCGCGGUAAUUC